rnacentral:rRNA from 1 species
CCUACGGGUGGCAGCAGUAGGGAAUAUUGCUCAAUGGGGGAAACCCUGAAGCAGCAACGCCGCGUGGAGGAUGAAGGUUUUCGGAUUGUAAACUCCUUUUGUUAGAGAAGAUAAUGACGGUGUCUAUCGAAUAAGCACCGGGCAACUCCGGGCCAGCAGCCGCGGUAAUACGGAGGGUGCAAGCGUUAGUCGGAAGCACUGGGCGUAAAGCGCGCGGAGGCGGGCUAGCAAGUCAGAUGUGAAAUCCUAGGGCUUAACCAUAGAACUGCAUUUGAAACUGUUAUUCUAGAGUAUGGGAGAGGUAGGUGGAAUUCUUGGUGUAGCGGUGAAAUCCGUAGAGAUCAAGAGGAAUACUGAUUGCGAAGGCGACCUGCUAGAACAUAACUGACGCUGAUGCGCGAAAGCGUGGGGAGCAAACAGGAUUAGAUACCCGAGUAGUC